rnacentral:rRNA from 1 species
GGGAAUAUUGCACAAUGGGGGAAACCCUGAUGCAGCGACGCCGCGUGAGUGAAGAAGUAUUUCGGUAUGUAAAGCUCUAUCAGCAGGGAAGAAAAUGACGGUACCUGAUUAAGAAGCCCCGGCUAACUACGUGCCAGUAGCCGCGGUAAUACGUAGGGGGCAAGCGUUGUUCGGAAUGACUGGGCGUAAAGGGUGUGUAGGCGGUGUAGCAAGUUAGAAGUGAAAUACCUAGAGCUUAACUCAGGUGCUGCUUCUAAAACUGCUAUACUUGAGUGCAGUAGAGGAAAGUGGAAUUCCUAGUGUAGCGGUGGAAUGCGUAGAUAUUAGGAGGAACAUCAGUGGCGAAGGCGACUUUCUGGACUGUAACUGACGCUGAGGCACGAAAGUGUGGGGAGCAAACAG